rnacentral:rRNA from 1 species
UACGGGGGGGGUAAGCGUUGUUCGGAAUUACUGGGCGUAAAGGGCUCGUAGGCGGCCAACUAAGUCAGACGUGAAAUCCCUCAGCUUAACUGGGGAACUGCGUCUGAUACUGGAUGGCUAGAGUGUGGGAGAGGGAUGCGGAAUUCCAGGUGUAGCGGUGAAAUGCGUAGAUAUCUGGAGGAACACCGGUGGCGAAGGCGGCAUCCUGGACCACGACUGACGCUGAGUGAGCGAAAGCCAGGGGAGCAAACUGG